rnacentral:tRNA from 1 species
GGGGAUUUAGCUCAGUGGUAGAGCGCUUGCCUAGGAAGCUGGGUUCGAUCCCCA